rnacentral:lncRNA from 1 species
UUCAUUUUAACAAAUUGAAGUCCAUUGAUAUCUGUUGGGGGAAAAAUGGACCACCCCAUAAAUAUAAUCUAAAUACCCGAAGGCCGAGACCAGAAGUCCGAGCUCAGAAGCUCAAAUUCAGAAGGUCGAGCUCAGAAGCCCGAGUGCAGAACGCCUCCCUCGAAGGCUGAGCUCAUGCAGACCGAGCUCAGAAGUCCGAGCUCAUGCAGGCCGAGCUCAUGUAGACUGAGCUCAUGCAGGCCGAGCCCAGAAGACUGAGCUCAUGCAGUCCGAGCUCAGAAGUCCGAGCUCAUGCAGACCGAGCUCAUGCAGACCGAGCUCAUGCAGACCGAGCUCAUGCAGGCCGAGGCCAGAAGGCCGAGCUCGUCGUCUACAUGCUGCAUUCACGCCCUG